rnacentral:siRNA from 1 species
GCGGUUGGUAGCGGUUGUUAGCGA